AUGUGGCCUCUUUCCCAUGGCUCACGGGCAGCAAGCAUCUCUACCACCUCCAUGUCUGCAGCAGGAGUUCCAGCAGGAAGGACACAGCCUCCAGCACCAUUUGACCAGAAGAUCCAAAUGGGACUGGACUGCUGGCCCCGAUACGGCUCCUCAAAGUCUCAAGCUGAUGGUCAGACAACCUCAAGAGGUAGUGGUGGGAGACAGCAGGACAAGGGCCGGAGCCGUGGGCAGGGGACGCUCAGGAGCAACUUGGCCAGUGUGGGGCCCACCCAAGUCGGCCUUGCUUGGAACCCUCGGGGUACCACUAAAGACAGAACCUUCAAAAUGGAAAUGUUUUCAACUUAUUACAAAAAAGGGCCAAACAUAAAAGUAAAAAUGAAUAGUGUCAUGGACCUCAUACUCCAUCAUUCAGCAUCAAGAAUUACACACCGUUCUGCAAAUCUUUGUUUUAUAUACACCCACCCCCUUUUUUUUUUCUUUUGUCUCACUUCGUCGCCCAGGCUGGAGUGGACUGGUGCAAUCCCGGCUCACUGCGGCCUCUGCCUCCCAGGUUCAAGCAAUUCUCAUGCCUCAGCCUCCUGAGUAGCUGGGAUUACAGGCAUGCACCAACAUACCCAGAUUAUUUUUGUAUUUUUAGUAGAGACAGAGUUUCGCCAUGUUGGCCAGGCUGGUCUCAAACUCCUGGCCUCAAGCAAUCCACCUGCCUCAGCCUCCCAAAGUGCUGGGAGUAUAGGCAUGAGCUACGGCACCUGGCAACACUCUUUUUUUUAAAAUUUUAUUCUUUAUUUAUUUAUAUUUGCUAUAAUAUUUUAAGGCAUACAGCUUACCAUUUCACUGUAAAUAUUUUGUUGUACAUUUCUAGGAGACAAGGGUCAUAUAUAUAAUAUAUAUAUACACACAGCUGUAAUUAAUAUAUAUAUUCAUAUAUAUAUAUAUGUAUAAAGGCAAUGCUCUUUUAUUCCAAACAAAAUUACCAACUUUAUUUUUUUAAUUACCAACUUUAAUAUCACCUAAUAUCCAGUCCAUGUUCAAAUGUCUUUGAUUCUCUCAAAAAUGCCUUUUAACAGUUGAUAUAUUCAGAUCCAGGAUCAAGAUCUCGAGAUCAUCUGCAUGUGUUGCCUUUGGUGGCUGUUUCUUAAGACUUUUAAUAGGCCAGGUGCAGUGGCUCACACCUGCAAUCCAAGCAUUUUGGGAGGCCGAGGCAGGUGGAACACCUGAGGUCAGGAGUUCAAGACCAGCCUGGCCAACAUGGUGAAACCCAUCUCUGCUGAAAAUACAAAAAUUAGCCAGGCCUGGUGACAGGUGCCUGUAAUCCCAGCUACUCAGGAGGCUGAGGCAGGAGAAUCGCUUCAACCCAGAAGGCAGAGAUUGCAGUGACCCAAGAUUGCACCAUUGCACUCCAGCCUGGGCAACAAGAGCGAAACUCCAUCUCAAAAAGUAAUAAUAAUAAAUACUUUUAAUAGAUAGCAGUCCCCCUUUAUAUGCCAUUAAUUUAUUUAUAAAGUAAGUGUAUGGGGCCUGUUAGAAUGGCCAAAA
rnacentral:lncRNA from 1 species